CGGCAUGUUCUAAAUAUAAGCAAUUAUACAGCGAAACUGCGAAUGGUCAUUAUAUAAGUUAUCGUUUAUUUGAUAGUACCUUACUACUUGGAUAACCGUGGUAAUUCUAGAGCUAAUACAUGCUAAAAAUCCCGACUUCGGAAGGGAUGUAUUUAUUAGAUUAAAAACCAAUGCCCUUCGGGGCUCACUGGUGAUUCAUGAUAACUCCUCGAAUCGCAUGGCCUUGUGCCGGCGAUGGUUCAUUCAAAUUUCUUCCCUAUCAACUUUCGAUGUUUGGGUAUUGGCCAAACAUGGUUGCAACGGGUAACGGAGGGUUAGGGCUCGACCCCGGAGAAGGAGCCUGAGAAACGGCUACUACAUCCAAGGAAGGCAGCAGGCGCGCAAAUUACCCAAUCCCGACACGGGGAGGUAGUGACAAUAAAUACUGAUACAGGGCUCUUUUGGGUCUUGUAAUUGGAAUGAGUACAAUUUAAAUCCCUUAACGAGGAACAAUUGGAGGGCAAGUCUGGUGCCAGCAGCCGCGGUAAUUCCAGCUCCAAUAGCGUAUAUUAAAGUUGUUGUGGUUAAAAAGCUCGUAGUUGAACCUUGGGCCUGGCUGGCCGGUCCGCCUCACCGCGUGUACUGGUCCGGCCGGGCCUUUCCCUCUGUGGAACCCCAUGCCCUUCACUGGGUGUGGCGGGGAAACAGGACUUUUACUGUGAAAAAAUUAGAGUGCUCCAGGCAGGCCUAUGCUCGAAUACAUUAGCAUGGAAUAAUAGAAUAGGACGUGUGGUUCUAUUUUGUUGGUUUCUAGGACCGCCGUAAUGAUUAAUAGGGACAGUCGGGGGCAUCAGUAUUCAAUUGUCAGAGGUGAAAUUCUUGGAUUUAUUGAAGACUAACUACUGCGAAAGCAUUUGCCAAGGAUGUUUUCAUUAAUCAGGAACGAAAGUUAGGGGAUCGAAGACGAUCAGAUACCGUCGUAGUCUUAACCAUAAACUAUGCCGACUAGGGAUCGGACGGUGUUAUUUUUUGACCCGUUCGGCACCUUACGAGAAAUCAAAGUGCUUGGGCUCCAGGGGGAGGAAUGGCAAAG
rnacentral:rRNA from 1 species